GUCCGGGUUGGGGUAGUGGACUAUCCUUCAGCCUUGUGGAGGCUGAGACGCGGGUUCAAUUCUCGCACCUGGACCCA
rnacentral:tRNA from 1 species